rnacentral:rRNA from 1 species
ACCAGACUCCUACGGGAGGCAGCAGUGGGGAAUAUUGGGCAAUGGGCGCAAGCCUGACCCAGCAACGCCGCGUGAAGGAAGAAGGCUUUCGGGCUGUAAACUUCUUUUGACAGGGAAGAGCAGAAGACGGUACCUGUCGAAUAAGCCACGGCUAACUACGUGCCAGCAGCCGCGGUAAUACGUAUGGAGCAAGCGUUAUCCGGAUUUACUGGGUGUAAAGGGAGCGUAGGCGGCCUGCCAAGUCUGAUGUGAAAUACCGGGGCUCAACCCCGGGGCUGCAUUGGAAACUGGCAGGCUGGAGUGUCGGAGAGGCAGGCGGAAUUCCUAGUGUAGCGGUGAAAUGCGUAGAUAUUAGGAGGAACACCAGUGGCGAAGGCGGCCUGCUGGACUGCAACUGACGUUGAGGCUCGAAGGCGUGGGGAGCAAACAGGAUUAGAUACCCCCGUAC